UACGGAGAGGGCGAGCGUUGUUCGGAAUCACUGGGCAUAAAGCGCACGUAGGCGGAUUGGAAAGUCGGUUGUGAAAGCCCGGGGCUCAACCCCGGAAUUGCUUCCGAAACUUCCAGUCUGGAGGACGAGAGGGGAGAGUGGAACUUCUGGUGGAGCGGUGAAAUGCGUAGAUAUCAGAAGGAACACCGGUGGCGAAAGCGACUCUCUGGCUCGUUUCUGACGCUAAGGUGCGAAAGCUAGGGGAGCAAACGGG
rnacentral:misc_RNA from 1 species